rnacentral:rRNA from 1 species
GAUGAACGCUGGCGGCGUGCUUAACACAUGCAAGUCGAGCGAAGCGGCUGAAUUGAUUCUUCGGAUGAUUUUCAGUUGACUGAGCGGCGGACGGGUGAGUAACGCGUGGGUGACCUGCCCCAUACCGGGGGAUAACAGCUGGAAACGGCUGCUAAUACCGCAUAAGCGCACAGAGCUGCAUGGCUCGGUGUGAAAAACUCCGGUGGUAUGGGAUGGGCCCGCGUCUGAUUAGGCAGUUGGCGGGGUAACGGCCCACCAAACCGACGAUCAGUAGCCGGCCUGAGAGGGCGACCGGCCACAUUGGGACUGAGACACGGCCCAAACUCCUACGGGAGGCAGCAGUGGGGAAUAUUGCACAAUGGGGGAAACCCUGAUGCAGCGACGCCGCGUGAGCGAAGAAGUAUUUCGGUAUGUAAAGCUCUAUCAGCAGGGAAGAUAAUGACGGUACCUGACUAAGAAGCCCCGGCUAACUACGUGCCAGCAGCCGCGGUAAUACGUAGGGGGCAAGCGUUAUCCGGAUUUACUGGGUGUAAAGGGAGCGUAGACGGCAAGGCAAGUCUGAUGUGAAAACCCAGGGCUUAACCCUGGGACUGCAUUGGAAACUGUCUGGCUCGAGUGCCGGAGAGGUAAGCGGAAUUCCUAGUGUAGCGGUGAAAUGCGUAGAUAUUAGGAAGAACACCAGUGGCGAAGGCGGCUUACUGGACGGUAACUGACGUUGAGGCUCGAAAGCGUGGGGAGCAAACAAGAUUAGAUACCCUGGUAGUCCACGCCGUAA